GAUGAACGCUAGCUACAGGCUUAACACAUGCAAGUCGAGGGGCAGCAUGAGCUUAGCUUGCUAGGCUUGAUGGCGACCGGCGCACGGGUGAGUAACACGUAUCCAACCUCCCGCUUACUCAGGAAUAGCCUUUCGAAAGAAAGAUUAAUGCCUGAUGGUAUCUUAAGCACACAUGUAAUUAAGAUUAAAGAUUUAUCGGUGUACGAUGGGGAUGCGUUCCAUUAGGUAGUAGGCGGGGUAACGGCCCACCUAGCCAACGAUGGAUAGGGGUUCUGAGAGGAAGGUCCCCCACAUUGGAACUGAGACACGGUCCAAACUCCUACGGGAGGCAGCAGUGAGGAAUAUUGGUCAAUGGACGAGAGUCUGAACCAGCCAAGUAGUGUGAAGGAUGAAGGUCCUACGGAUUGUAAACUUCUUUUAUAAGGGAAUAAACCCUCCCACGUGUGGGAGCUUGUAUGUACCUUAUGAAUAAGCAUCGGCUAACUCCGUGCCAGCAGCCGCGGUAAUACGGAGGAUGCGGGCGUUAUCCGGAUUUAUUGGGUUUAAAGGGAGCGCAGACGGGUCGUUAAGUCAGCUGUGAAAGUUUGGGGCUCAACCUUAAAAUUGCAGUUGAUACUGGCGUCCUUGAGUGCGGUUGAGGUGUGCGGAAUUCGUGGUGUAGCGGUGAAAUGCUUAGAUAUCACGAAGAACUCCGAUUGCGAAGGCAGCACACUAAUCCGUAACUGACGUUCAUGCUCGAAAGUGUGGGUAUCAAACAGGAUUAGAUACCCUGGUAGUCCACACGGUAACC
rnacentral:rRNA from 1 species